ACCUAUACCCUCUUAUUAUAAAACGCGGUAUCAAAUAAGUAUCGGCUUUUGUACUACCUUUAAUCCACCUUUAAGUACGACCUUGAAAAAACGUUAUUACAAAACGCAGUUUAUCGCAAGUCCUAUUACUAUCUGUAGUACAAAAGAUAAACCAUCGAGCCCCCUAGUUUAACUGCAGUACUUAGUCGACAAACGUCAAAUUCCGACAUUAUUUACUUUUGAGGUUAUUUGUUUUGUGAUGAAAAAAACGAAAGUGGAUAUAAAUAUGUGUGAUUUGGAAUACUUGGAUGUGUUAGAAUACUAUUGAGAGUGUCCGGGGACCCAACAGAAUGCGUCAUCGACAAAAUCUCUUCAAAUUACCUGACGACAAUUUUCGAUAUAAAUAUCGAUUUACGUUUUUCGAAAUAAUAGUCAAUUGAAUGCAAGAUGAUAAUCCAGGAUGAUCCUAUGAUGCUCAACUGGGCUCGCCAUAAAAUUCAAGACUAUUUUGGCGUUUUGCACGCCGUAUCUCUGCCAGUAAUAUGCAAUGUUUGUAAAAGACUGGAAGCUUGCUAAAAUGUACAAAAAUGCCUAGAUGAGAAAGGGAACAAGAUUGUGUGAUGAAGAACAGUGUCCAACAUGUAUCAGUGCAUUUGACUGUAUAAAUAGACAUCGGAAUAAAAUAUAAUUUUCUACUUU